AUGCUCACUUUUGCAGCACAUAUACUAAAAAUUGGAAUGAUACAAAGAAGAUUAGCAUGGCCCCUGUGCAAGGAUGACACACAAAUUCAUGAAGCAUUCCAUAUUUUU
rnacentral:snRNA from 1 species